rnacentral:rRNA from 1 species
UGAACGCUAGCGGGAGGCCUAAUACAUGCAAGUCGAACGGUAACAGGGCAGAACUUCGGUUCAGCCGCUGACGAGUGGCGCACGGGUGAGUAACGCGUACAUAACCUGCCUUCAAGAGAGGGAUAGCCCUGGGAAACCGGGAUUAAUACCUCAUAGUAUUGCUAAGUCGCAUGGCUGUGCAAUUAAAGUUUCGGCGCUUGAAGAUGGAUGUGCGUGCCAUUAGCUAGUUGGUAAGGUAACGGCUUACCAAGGCAACGAUGGCUAGGGGGCGUGAGAGCGUGACCCCCCACACGGGUACUGAGACACGGACCCGACUCCUACGGGAGGCAGCAGUAAGGAAUAUUGGACAAUGGAGGCAACUCUGAUCCAGCCAUCCCGCGUGCAGGAUGACUGCCCUAUGGGUUGUAAACUGCUUUAAUAUGGGGAGAAACCUGUUCAUUUACUGAACAGUUGACGGUACCUUAUGAAUAAGCACCGGCUAACUCCGUGCCAGCAGACGAGGUAAUACGGAGGGUGCAAGCGUAAUCCGGAAUCACUGGGUUUAAAGGGAGCGUAAGCGGAAUGAUAAGUCAGAGGUGAAAGGCUGUAGCUUAACUAUGGAAUUGCCUAUGAUACUGUAGUGCUUGAAUCGAGUUGA